UACGUAGGGUGCGAGCGUUAAUCGGAAUACUGGGCGUAAAGCGUGCGCAGGCGGUGAUGUAAGACAGAUGUGAAAUCCCCCGGGCUCAACCUGGGAACUGCAUUUGUGACUGCAUCGCUGGAGUACGGCAGAGGGGGGAUGGAAUUCCGCGUGUAGCAGUGAAAUGCGUAGAUAUGCGGAGGAACACCGAUGGCGAAGGCAACUCCCCUGGGCCUGUACUGACGCUCAUGCACGAAGCGUGGGAGCAAACAGG
rnacentral:rRNA from 1 species